rnacentral:tRNA from 1 species
AACGAAAUUUUAUACAAGUCUUCUAAAUUUGUUGAAGGGUAACCUGUUCGUUU